rnacentral:rRNA from 1 species
AAAAGGCGGCGUAAGCUGUCGCUAAAGGAUGGACCCGCGGUGCAUUAGCUAGUUGGUAAGGUAACGGCUUACCAAGGCGACGAUGCAUAGCCGAGUUGAGAGACUGAUCGGCCACAUUGGGACUGAGACACGGCCCAAACUCCUACGGGAGGCAGCAGUAGGGAAUCUUCCACAAUGGGCGAAAGCCUGAUGGAGCAACGCCGCGUGAGUGAAGAAGGUUUUCGGAUCGUAAAGCUCUGUUGUUGGUGAAGAAGGAUAGAGGUAGUAACUGGCCCCUAUUUGACGGUAAUCAACCAGAAAGUCACGGCUAACUACGUGCCAGCAGCCGCGGUAAUACGUAGGUGGCAAGCGUUGUCCGGAUUUAUUGGGCGUAAAGCGAGCGCAGGCGGAAAGAUAAGUCUGAUGUGAAAGCCCCCGGCUUAACUGAGGAAUUGCAUCGGAAACUGUGUUUCUUGAGUGCAGAAGAGGAGAGUGGAACUCCAUGUGUAGCGGUGGAAUGCGUAGAUAUAUGGAAGAACACCAGUGGCGAAGGCGGCUCUCUGGUCUGUAACUGACGCUGAGGCUCGAAAGCAUGGGUAGCGAACAGGAUUAGAUACCCUGGUAGUCCAUGCCGUAAACGAUGAGUGCUAAGUGUUGGGAGGUUUCCGCCUCUCA